rnacentral:rRNA from 1 species
CACGUAGGCUGUAGUGUAAGUCAGGGGUGAAAUCCCACGGCUCAACCGUGGAACUGCCUUUGAUACUGCACAACUUGAAUCCGGGAGAGGGUGGCGGAAUUCCAGGUGUAGGAGUGAAAUCCGUAGAUAUCUGGAGGAACAUCAGUGGCGAAGGCGGCCACCUGGACCGGUAUUGACGCUGAGGUGCGAAAGCGUGGGGAGCAAACAG